AAUGUAUUGUCAACAGAUUUUUAAAUGGAAUUUCAAUUUUCUCAAUUCAAAUCCAGUUUAUUCUUAUUCUUAAGUUACGGAAAAAAUACAAAUAAUAAAAUCAGAAUGGAUAUCUUUUAUCUUAUAAAUCACAAGUCAUCUGACCAGUUAGAAUUAUUAUUGCCACAUGUAAUUUUAAAUUAUUAUUAACUUUAAUCGAAAUAACUAAAUAAAAUGUCGACAAAAAGAAAAACAAAAUAACUGUAUCAUCGUGCCUCACUUCCCCAUCCCACGAGUCCAUGAUCCAUCUUCCUCGCCCACGAUCCCUCUUCAAAAAAAAAAUUAUGAUCCUUAAUUAUAUAAAUCUGUCUCCAGAUCAUCUGUUCAUCAUCGUCGUGUACUUGUGUCAGUGUGACCCUCAUGGGUUAAUGUUAGAUAUCAAAUAUCUCGCACAGUUGCACUGCCCCAUUUUAGAUUUCUAGAUAUCUUGGAGGAGAGAAACGGAUUCAACGAUCCUCCGAGAGAAAUUCUAGGUGACUUUGAUUUCAUCGUUGCUUGGAUUUCGAAUUUUCACUUCUAACUGGAUACUCUCUGUCUGAAUUUUUAAGAAGGAGUUGAAAGAGUGAAAUUGACCAGUGCUCCACAUCUUGGAUUUGUAAGGACACUUACGAAGACGUACGCAGCACAUAUAAGAUUAAUCUUGAGACGGAGAUAUUGAUCACUAGGGAUUAUGUUUCCUCCUUGCAAAGUUUGAGGAAACAGUAUUAAAAUAAAGAAGUAGUAUGACUUCAAGUAGGAGAUUGAUUCCGAAGGGAUUUCAUGGAGUUGAUUCCAAGAAAAAAAGAGAGGCACUUAGAGAAUUUGGCCAGAUAGAACACCUUAAUCUUUUAGAAGGCUAGAAUGAUCAAUGGCUAUGCAUCUGUCAAUGAAGAGGGCCAAUAAAUGGUCAAAAGUUAACAGAAAGAACAAUGUCCUAAUACGCGGCUAAAGUGAUGGAGCUUUGUCCGAUAGACAUGGCCCAAGUAAAUGAAGAGGAUUUAUUAGUAAAAUAAAGCUUGAAAAGAAAAAAAAGACUUGCUGAAAAAGGACUCUUAACAUCUUAACUUCACCACAUCUUUUGAGUACAAACACGAGAUGAUAAAGUUUGAGGCUAUGGAAUUAAGGUCAACUCAGUUAUUUGAAGUUUGAGUUAAUUAUAUGAAAGACUUCCGGUGCUCGCACCGGGUAUAAUAUUAGUAUGAUAUAUUCGACUAUUCUUUUUGAUUAAUUUAGAUUAAAAAUAGUACACAAAAAUCACAACCAAAGUGAUACUAACUAAUGGUUAUAAAUUUUUUUGACGAAUUUCCUAUUCAAACUUUUGCAAAAUUCACUUGAAUGGCAUGUGUCAGAUUGAAAUUAGGAAGAGUUAAUUUAGAAUUCAAUCUAGAAAAAUCACAAAAUUAGAGGUGAUCAUUUGACCAAUUGUCUAAGAAAAGACAAUUGAAACAUUCCACAAAACUUUUAAUUUUAGUAAUUCCCUAUAUAUAGAAGUUUCAUUUUACAUAUAAAUACGUUGAUGACUUAACAAAAAAAAACAAAAAAAAAAAACAAAAACAAAAACAAGAACCAUUUAAAAGCUUAUUAAGCACAAUGGCCAUCGAAAAGAGAACCAUGAUUGCCUCCUUCAUCAUCGUUCUGAUGAUGGUAACGAUGAUCGCUACCAACGUUGAGGCUCGGAAUCAUGUCAAAAUCAAGCCACCAGCAAACCCCAAGUUCUUCUUUUUCUAAAUUGAUUGAUGGCUCAUAAUGUUUACAAGAAAUAAAUGGUUGCUUCAACAAGGAGCUUCAAGCCUUCAAGCAUUGGUUAAACUAAUGUUUAUUAUUUAUAUAUGUUCACUUUCAUCCUCUUAUUUGUUUUAGUUAUGGGUGAAAUUAUUUAAAUAAAAUGUUAUAAAAAUUUAUAUUUAUACUUGAAUCAAAUAAACUAGUUUCAAAUUUCAAUCACAAAGAUUUAUUUUA